rnacentral:lncRNA from 10 species
CCGGGUGCAGGGCGCGGCUCCAGGGAGGAAGCUCCGGGGCGAGCCCAAGACGCCUCCCGGGCGGUCGGGGCCCAGCGGCGGCGUUCGCAGUGGAGCCGGGCACCGGGCAGCGGCCGCGGAACACCAGCUUGGCGCAGGCUUCUCGUUUUGUCCGCCUUCCCUGCCUCCUCUUCUGGGGGAGUUAGAUUGAGUUGUAACAAGAACAUGCCACUGUCUCACUGGCUGCAGCGUGUGGUCCCCUUACCAGAGGUAAGGAAGAGAUGGAUCUCCACUCAUGUUGUAGACAGAAUGUUUAUGUCCUCUCCAAAUUCUUAUGUUGAAACCCUAACCCCUAAUGUGAUGGUAUGUGGAGAUGGGCCUUUGGUAGGUAAUUACGGUUAGAUGAGGUCAUGGGGUGGGGCCCUCAUUAUAGAUCUGGUAAGAAAAGAGAGCAUUGUCUCUCUGUCUCCCUCUCUCUCUCUCUCUCUCUCUCUCUCUCUCUAUCUCUAUCUCAUUUCUCUCUCUCUCUCUAUCUCAUUUCUCUCUCUCUCUUUCUCUCCUCUGUCUUUUCCCACCAAGUGAGGAUGCGAAGAGAAGGUGGCUGUCUGCAAACCAGGAAGAGAGCCCUCACCAGGAACCCGU